rnacentral:rRNA from 1 species
GAUGAACGCUGGCGGCGUGCUUAACACAUGCAAGUCGAACGGACGGAUUGGAGCUUGCUCCAUGAAGUUAGUGGCGGACGGGUGAGUAACGCGUGGGUAACCUACCUCGUACAGGGGGAUAACAACAAGAAAUUGUUGCUAAUACCGCAUAACAUGAAAGUUCCGCAUGGAACAUUCAUCAAAGAUUUAUCGGUACGAGAUGGACCCGCGUUAGAUUAGCUAGUUGGUGAGAUAACAGCUCACCAAGGCGACGAUCUAUAGCCGGCCUGAGAGGGUGAACGGCCACACUGGGACUGAGACACGGCCCAGACUCCUACGGGAGGCAGCAGUGGGGAAUAUUGCACAAUGGGCGCAAGCCUGAUGCAGCGACGCCGCGUGAAGGAUGAAGGUUUUCGGAUCGUAAACUUCUAUCAGCAGGGAGGAACCAAAUGACGGUACCUGACUAAGAAGCCCCGGCUAACUACGUGCCAGCCGCCGCCGUAACAC